UUGGUAUUCAAAAUAAGCCUCUGACCUUUUUUUCAUCAGCUGGGUUUUAUACAUUAAAAAGUAAGUGCUUACGUGCAAAUACUCUUAGAACAGUAAUAGGAAGGGAGUACAGAUAAGACAUAGGGAUGAACGUCAUGUACACAUAACAAAUAAGUUCCAAGGUAAGAAAGAGCAAAAAGAUUAGAGAAGAGACAUCUUAGGUGGGGGCUCUCUGCUCCCGGAACUAGACAUAUAUGGUCUUAAGUGUUGUUUAGGCAUCAAGCAUUUCCUGAGUCCAAGUUAGCCAAUUUUAAUAUAGGAUAUCAUUAUAUGACACCUAUAAGCUUGAUCCAAGGGUCACCCAAAUAUCCAAGGUAUUUCCAGGCCUGCUAGCCAAAGCCUGUGGGACUUUCAUUUAUUGCUUCACCACGGUUCCCUUGGACUGAGAGACCACCAGAAGCAGCAGAGGAGAGUUCCUUCAUUUGUUAGACGAGGUAACAUCAUAAAACCUUUCCGAAGUCGGAGCUGGAAUGUAAGUUAAGGUACGACCAACAGUAGGUUUGCUUUUACAUAGAGAGGUUAGUAGACAUGAAAAAAAUCUAAAGGUUAGAAAAAUGGCCAUAAUGACAAAUACAGCUAAUAGCAAAAGGUAUAAAAUUUGCUUAAUUAGUAAAUUCAACCAUGUUCCUAGCCCAAAUGUCCAAUCCCAAUCUCCAAAGAAGCCGUUAUCCUGUUUGAUAUCCUGUACUAAGACAUGUAAAUCUUUUAUAUGUUUAUGGAUCAUAGUGCCAUGGUCAGAUAGGUUAAAAUAGCACAUACCUUCAAUAGCUUAACAGCCUAAGUCAUGUUUCAUUAGUAAGUAGUAAAUGGCUGCUCUUUUCUCUAGGAUUGCCUUCUUAUUUGCCUGGUUGUCCAUAAGUAGCUCUUCUAGGGCCUUUGAAGUGGCACUUAAACCUUUUCCAAGGGAACAGGCUACAGCAUUAACUACUCGGGUAUUAUACAGUGCUAAGCCUGGGACUCCUACCAAGGUGUACGCUAGGGCAGAGUAUUCGGCUUUAGAUAAGAGAGUGAUUUCAGGGUUACAAUCUGCAUUAAGGGUGUUUUUAACAUCUCUCCUGUCUCUCAGCAGUUUGUGUAGCUGGGUGGUUUUAGUGAUCAGGUCAGAUUUGGAAAACAUGGUCAUGGUUAGGCGAGAGAUUGCACAGGGACCUCCUGUAAUGUUACCUGGGACAUAGGCAUAAGUAAUAUUUCCACAGGAGAAAGUCCAUCCUUUAGGAAGAUAGACAUUGUAGUGGUAACUCAUAACUUGGUGAGUUUUGGUACAAUUCAUAGUGGUGCUCAGGGCUCUACAAUUCGUGGUAUUUUUCCACCAUGUGGGGCAAAACAGGGAUUCAGUAUUAGGGUCUCUUGAACAAUUACAUGAAAAAGACCAACAUAGUUCAGCGCCUGUCACAUUAAUUGUCUUCAGGGCUGGGGAGGCUUGCCUACCAGUGGGUUGAAGGCAUAAGAAUAUAGUUGUAGAGAUUUAUGGGGUCUAUGGGUAUGUAGGUACUUCCUCAACAGUGGGAUGGGGGUAGGAACAGCUAUAAGACAAGAUUCUAUGGCGUUUUCAGUACUGAGGAGAGGGUUGAGGCAAAAAGGAGGUUAAAUUAAAAGCCUUUGCUAUCUGCAACCAUAUAUUUUCCUGCCAUGCAUUAUUAUUUUCUGGUCUCAAGUCAGAGUAGCAUAUCCGAACACAGCAUAAAAAUGGUAAAGGAUAAGAACAGCUUUGUGUCGGUGGAUCAGUCGGAGUGACUUGUUUACAGUGACUGGCGUGUAUCCACGUGGUAUUUCCUUCUAGUUUCACUGAGGUAGCCGUAGUCAAGAGCACUUGGAAUGGACCGUCAAAGCGUGGUUCAAGUCCUUUCCUCACAUGCGUCUUUAUCACCACCCAAUCACCAUUCUGCAGUUUGUGAGUUGCAGAUUCAGAGUCUGGAUCUGGAAUAGAAUCAAAGACUUGUUUAUGCACCCUGCCUAAUCAUUGGUGUAGGGCCUGAACAUAGGCAGUCAUACUACCAUGUUGCAUCUGGAGGGUUUGGGGAAAAUAGAGGCCUGUCUUUGGGGCACAUCCAAACAGGAUCUCAAAAGGGGAUAGGCCAUGUCUGGAAUUGGGGGUGAAUCUCAUAGAAAAGAGUGCUAGGGGAAGGCAUUCAGUCCAGGGCUUUCCUGUGUCUUGCAUGGCUUUUGCAAUCUUGUUCUUUAAGGUGCCAUUUGCCCUUUCUACUUUUCCACUACUCUGGGGGUGAUAGGGGUGUGGACUGAUCCCUAAGGCUUUCAUAAUUUCUUGCAUUAUUUCCCCAGUGAAAUGGCUACCUCUGUCACUUUCAAUCACUUCAGGUACUCCAUAUCUACAUACCAGUUCCUUCAGAAGCUUACUUGCUGUGACCUUCGUUGUGGCUUUCGACACUGGGUAGGCCUCAGGCCAACCUGAAAAGAGAUCAAUGCACACCAACACAUAUUCAUACACUCCUACCUUAGGUAGUUGAAUAUAGUCUAUCUGCAGUCUUUGAAAUGGGUAAAGUGGCCUUGGUGUGUGCUUACUUGGUGUUUUGACAGCCUGUCCUGGAUUGUUUCUAGCACAAAUCAUGCAAGCUUGGGUGUGUUUAGCUGCUACAACAGUAAAUCCGGGUGCUAUCCAAUGGGUGUUUACUAUGCUGUUCAUGUGCAUCUUGGAUAGAUGUGUAGGUCAAUGGGCAAUCUGGGCCAUCAUGGGGUACAACACUCGUGGCAAACACAGUCUUUUACCUUUCCUCCACAUUCUGUCAUCAUCAGGUUCUGCAUCUUGUUUCCUCCAGAGGUCAUGUUCUUCCUUGCUUGCCUGUCUUUGUAAGCUCAACAGUAUAUUGUAGUCAAUGGCAUCAUCUGUAAGAACAACUUGUAGGAAGGUAUUACCUGUUGAACUUGAAUUGCUGCUUGCUUGGCAGCUUUGUCUGCUUUGUGGUUUCCUCUUGAGAUUUCAUCUGUGAUCUUCACGUGAGCUGCCACCUUGAUGAUGCCUACUUGAGUGGGUAGCAGGAUAGCGUCCAUAAGUGCACUCACAGCUUCAGAAUUCUUGAUUGGAGUUCCUGCUGAGGUGAGAAAAUCACGAGCCCGCCAUAUAGGGCCAAAAUCAUGGGCUAUACCAAAAGCAUAGCGAGAGUCUGUAUAAAUAUUAGCAGUCUUACCAGAAGCCAUUUUACACGCUUCAGCGAGUGCCUUCAGCUCUGCCUCCUGUGCAGAGCAGUGAGGAGCGAGUGGUUCAGCUUUUAUUACCUCAUGUGCAGAGACUACAGCAUAUCCAGUGUGGAAAUUACCCUUCUCAUCAGCAUAUCUGGAACCAUCUACAAAAAACUUAAAAUCUGCAUUAGAUAAUGGAGAAUCAAUUACAUGCAAAAAACCUGCUGUUUCUUGUGCCAUUUAGUGCUGCACAAUCAUGGGGUACCUGGGCAUCAGCUAACUCAUCUGGUGAAAGUGAAUUUACAAAAAGAUCAGAAUUACAAGUACCAUUCCCACUAUCUCCACUCCCCACUUUUAAAUCCAGGGGAAGAAAUGUAGAUGGAUUUAACACCAUACACCUUUUAAGAGUAACAUUAGGUGGCAUAAGCAAGGCACAUUGUAUUUUGAGAUGCCUUGCAGUAUGUAUGUGUUUUGGUUGAUGCUGUUGAUAUCAUGCGGUGUGUAUAUGGUUACUGGGUUAUCUAAGACAAUAUCAGUAUAUCAGUGGCUUUGUCCAGGAUGGCAGUAACAGCCGCCACUGCCCUAACACAUGAGGGGACACCCCUGGCAACAGGGUCCAAUCUGGUGGAGUAGUAUGCUAUUGGUCUUUGUUUACCACCAUGGUCCUGUGUAAGGACAGAUGUAGCAUAGCCUGAUUGCUCAGUACAGAACAGGUUAAAAUUCUUUCUGUAAUCUGGGAGACCCAGUGCCGGAGCUGACGUUACCAGUAACUUAAGGGUAUAGAAGGCAUUUUCUGCCGCAUGGGUUAAUUUAAACGGUUUGUUUUCGUUGGCAAGACAAUCAUACAGUGGUUGCAUGUAGAUUGCUACGGAACGCAGCCAAGGACGGCAGUAAGAUAUCAAACCGAAAAAAUGUGCGGAGCUGGGCUAGGCUGCUGGGGGGGUUUAAUAUUUUGAAUUGCAGUCUUAUGCCCUGGGAAAUGCCAUGUCCUAGGAAAAUAACUUUCUCUACACAAGCUUGCAGUUUCGUUUUUGUCGCUUUACAGCCUGCUUCUGCCAAGAAUUUUAGCAAGGAAAGAGUGUUUACAAUACAAGAUUCCAGAUUAUCGCAACAUAGGAGUAGGUCAUCAAUAUACUGCAAUAAAAUCACGUUAUUUGGCCUUUGCCACUCUUCAAGAAUCUGGGCCAUAGCCAUGCUGUACAUAGUGGGUGAGUUUUGUGCGCCCUCUGGCAAUACUGUCCAAGUGUACUGCUUGUGUUUAUGUGUAAAUGCAAAUAAAAACUGACUGUCGGGAUCCAGGGGAACACUGAAAAAUGCAUUUGCCAAGUCAAUAACAGUAAAUACCUUAGAGGAGGGUGGUAUUUGUGCCAACAAGGUGUGUGGGUUGGGAACAUUACGGGCAAUCAGUUCAGUUACAGCAUUAAUUGCCCUCAAAUCAUGUACCAUACGGUAGACCACAGGUUUCCCUUUCUCUUGCUUUUUCUUAAUUGGGUACAAUGGUGUGUUACAAGGGGAGGUGGUCUGGACAACUACCCCUGCCUGCAGAAACUCCUGCACAGAUUGCGAAAUAGCAUCUUACUGUGCUGGGCUUAGGGGGUAUUGUUUUUGACAGGGAGGUUUGGCUCCGGGCAGGAGAUUCACUUUGACUGGGGGCACAGAGAGUCUGCCUGUAUCAGUCUUCCCUGUAGCCCAUAAGGAAUCAGGUACUGAGGACAAGUCAAUGGUAGGUUCUGGCACAAGGCUGGGCAUAGUGAGAGUUGCCAGAACAUUUGAAAGAGAUAUCAUUUGUUUGUCCUCCAAAGGCACAGACAAUGUUACUUUUGCAGUGGGGCUAUACUGGAUAUUUGCACUAAGAGCAGACCGUAUAUCACUGCCUAGUAGAUUAGCAGGGGCAUGAGGGCUGACAAGUACCCUUGUUACAAGGGCAGUAGAGUCGUGUAGCUUCAAUUUCAGCUUGUGUGUAAGGGGAAUGUCAUUUUCGAUACCAUCCACCCCUACACAUGAUAAUACAUCAUUAGAUUUCUCAUUCGGGAACACAUAUUUUUCCUGUAACAUUGAUUUAGCAGCGCCAGUGCCCAACAGGAAAGGGACUAUUCGGUCCCCGGGCAGUGUAACAUUGAUAAUGGGUGAGGGUCCUGCAGAGUCAGGGAUAUUUAUAAUAUGUAGGGACACUGGUUUGCCAAUUUCCUAUUGGGGGGGGGGGAGGUGGUGGAGGUGGUUGGUUGUCAUGGGAGUUAUCAUUAGAAUCCUGGGGUUUUCUAUUUUUAGGAGGACACUUGCAGUUACGUUUAAUGUGUCCUUUCCUGCCACAAUUCCAGCAGUCUACCUGCCUUCUAUCUCCACCAGCUCUAGGGACAGUUACAGCCAUUAGAGGUGUGCUCCUCCUUCUAGUAUUUAGAUUAGCUUCCACUCCCCUAGCCAACUUCACCAGAUCACCAUAGGUUAAACUUCUCCACUCAAGUCUGGUCCAAGUGGUUACAACAUCAGUGUAACCUAAUGCCUCCCAAGCCAUCUGUAGUUUGGUGAAGAAUGUGUCUACAGAUUCAUCUUUCCCUUGUAGUAUAUCUCCUAAUUUAUGGGCUAGUUCCUCUGUCUUUACCUUAGCCCAUUCUCUCAUUGCAGUGACAUGGCAUGCUCCAGAUGCAGACUUGGUUCUAAACCAUUCAUCUGUUUGCAUGUUGCUUUUUCUGAGGUUAUCUUCAUGGGCAUCUGUAUAUUUAGCAAUUAUUCUAGCCCAAAUGGGGCCAGCUUUUAGUGCCAUAAUCUGUUUUAAAUCCAUCCAAGUACACUGGUAAGUAGCUUGAAUUGUGGAUAGAGACUGGACUAGAGCCAAGGGGGCCUUUUCAACAUCUGCCAGCUGCUGUAUUAUUGCCAGUUGUUCACUGGGUGUCCAGGGCUUAUAUUCUUCCCAGUAUUGGAUACCUGCGCUCGGCUGUCUGUUCUCAUGGUAUACGCUCUCAACUUUGGGUAUCAUGGGAGUAGACAAUUGUGGAGCUAAUGGCCCCACUGGGGUGUCUAUGGGGGCAACUAGGGGUUCCUUUAAGUCUGGACUACCUUCCUCCUCUAAUGAACCCAUAGGUCUUACUGGGACACAAUAUGAAGUCCCACUGCGUAAUAUUACUGGAAACAGGGGUUUUGAUCUCCGUAAAAGGGAAAUCGCCUGACCUUUAGGGACCAAAGGAGUCCCUGCAGAAACCUGAUAAAGGGGUGGGUUUACAAGAUUUUUCCCAGGAUCUUGCCUACUCUGGGACCCUAGAGGUCCAAAACAUUGAUAAUGUGGUACACCUUUCUUGGUGGUUUCUCUACAACCACA